UACGUAGGGUGCAAGCGUUAUCCGGAAUUAUUGGGCGUAAAGAGCUCGUAGGCGGUUUGUCGCGUCUGCUGUGAAAACUGGAGGCUCAACCUCCAGCCUGCAGUGGGUACGGGCAAGCUAGAGUGCGGUAGGGGAGAUUGGAAUUCCUGGUGUAGCGGUGGAAUGCGCAGAUAUCAGGAGGAACACCGGUGGCGAAGGCGGGUCUCUGGGCCGUAACUGACGCUGAGGAGCGAAAGCGUGGGGAGCGAACAGG
rnacentral:rRNA from 1 species